UCUGGAAAGUACGAUACUUAAAAUGUUCGCAUUCAUGACAGGAAAUGAUUGUCCAAUUUCUGUUUUUUCUUAUGCUACAGCCUAUCCAAGGCACUGUCAUCUCCCUGUGCACAGACACAGCAAAUGUGGUGAACUGGCCUGUAUAUAUACCGUUUUCGUCCGGAUGUCUUUCACAAAGUUGUUUUUUGGAAGUCGAGGAGGAUAUUACGUGCAAAUAUGUUAAAAAACAAAAGCACAAUGAUUUUUUGUUUUAAAAUCGCUGUAUAUUAGAGGCAACUUUCUAUAUCAGUUUUACUCAAUUGCAUGUAGAUUUUUAUUUAAAGAAGAGACAUUACUCAUAUUUUCUCAUCAACAUUGCCAAAAGCUCUUGAAUUCCCUGGGCGUCGUGCUACAGAAUAUCUGACGACCUAAAAGUUGAAUGCUCCUGGAUCUUCUCGCUCCAUCGAUGUCUGCCCAUCAAGGAUUUUGAAGACUGACUUCACAGUUUCAGAGGCAAUUUCAGGGUCCAGGUCUUCUAUUAUAGACAUCGGAUACCAGUGAUUUAUCAUAGAGAGGCACAACUUACAAACAUAGUUUCAGGAUUUCAAGCACAAAUUUGAAUUGAGAAGCAACAACUCCAGUAUUCUGCAUUUUAAUCCACAGCCAGCGGAAGAAAGGACCAUUCAUAAAAAAGUCGUUGCGAAUCAUAAUCAGCUGGACAUUCAAUUUUGCAAAAAAAGAAACGUAAAUUUGGGCACCAGACGUCUGGGUUCGCCCCAAACGAACCAGAUUGUCUAGGCACGAACCUUGGCCGAACCCAAAGGUGAACCGGACCAAGACCUGAACCUGAACCGGACCGAACCAGUACCAGGCCGUGAUCUUGGCGAACCCUGCAACUUAGCUUUUUAUUAAAUUGUCAAGUUUUGGGUAAAGCUUGUUUCACAGAAUUCGAGUCAGGUUCAGAAGCCAGCACAUGAAGAGGAUCAAGAAAUCUUUCCCUUUUAUGCACUGGUUAUGUGGUAUUUGUUUCAAUAGAAGUUCAAGAAUAUGAGAUGUAAAAACAGAAUUUGUACUUGCUUUCUCUUCCUUGAAAUUUUUGAAAGCCAAACAUAAUAAUUCGUAUCAUAUCCCACGCACUGACCAAUUUGAAAAUUCAUUGAUUGAUGACACACCUUUUGCACUUACAGUUCAUCCAUCCAUUAGAAACAAAAUCUCUCCACAUUAUGGAUAGAUGACACAAAAUGCCCCGAAUAAAGAAAGAUACUCCUGGUAUCUUAGGCAUAUUUUAGCAUUC